rnacentral:rRNA from 1 species
UGAGGAAUAUUGGUCAAUGGACGAGAGUCUGAACCAGCCAAAUCGCGUGAAGGAAGACUGCCCUACGGGUUGUAAACUUCUUUUGUACAGGAGUAAAAGACAUUACGUGUAAUGUAUUGCAUGUACUGUACGAAUAAGCAUCGGCUAACUCCGUGCCAGCAGCCGCGGUAAUACGGAGGAUGCGAGCGUUAUCCGGAUUUAUUGGGUUUAAAGGGUGCGCAGGCGGGAUUUUAAGUCAGCGGUGAAAUUUUCAGGCUCAACCUGAACACUGCCGUUGAAACUGGGAUUCUUGAGUAUGGAUGAAGUAGGCGGAAUUCGUUGUGUAGCGGUGACAUGCUUAGAUAUAACGAGGAACUCCGAUUGCGUAGGCAGCUUACUAAGCCAUAACUGACGCUCAAGCACGAAAGCGUGGGGAUCAAACA